rnacentral:rRNA from 2 species
UCUUGACCUCGGAUCAGGUAGGGAUACCCGCUGAACUUAAGCAUAUCAAUAAGCGGAGGAA